GUGGGGAAUCUUGCGCAAUGGGCGAAAGCCUGACGCAGCCAUGCCGCGUGAAUGAUGAAGGUCUUAGGAUUGUAAAAUUCUUUCACCGGGGACGAUAAUGACGGUACCCGGAGAAGAAGCCCCGGCUAACUUCGUGCCAGCAGCCGCGGUAAUACGAAGGGGGCUAGCGUUGCUCGGAAUUACUGGGCGUAAAGGGCGCGUAGGCGGACAGUUUAGUCAGAGGUGAAAGCCCAGGGCUCAACCUUGGAAUUGCCUUUGAUACUGGCUGUCUUGAGUACGGGAGAGGUGAGUGGAACUCCGAGUGUAGAGGUGAAAUUCGUAGAUAUUCGGAAGAACACCAGUGGCGAAGGCGACUCACUGGCCCAUUACUGACGCUGAGGCGCGAAAGCGUGGGGAGCAAACAGGAUUAGAAACCCCGGUAGUCC
rnacentral:rRNA from 1 species